AUACGAAGGGGGCAAGCGUUGUUCGGAAUAACUGGGCGUAAAGCGCACGUAGGCGGAAUGUUAAGUUAGAGGUGAAAUCCCAGGGCUCAACCCUGGAACUGCCUUUAAUACUGGCAAUCUAGAGACCGAGAGAGGUGAGUGGAAUUCCGAGUGUAGAGGUGAAAUUCGUAGAUAUUCGGAGGAACACCAGUGGCGAAGGCGGCUCACUGGCUCGGUACUGACGCUGAGGUGCGAAAGCGUGGGAAGCAAACAGGAUUAGAAACCCUAGUAGUCC
rnacentral:rRNA from 1 species